rnacentral:SRP_RNA from 1 species
ACUGGAUGUGAUGGCACAUAUCUGUAGUCUUAGCUACUUGGGAGGCUGAGGUGGGAGAAUCGCUUGAGUCUGGGAGUCUGGGCUGUAGUGUACUAUGCCGAUGGGGUUUCUGCGCUAAGUUCGGCAUCAAUAUGGUGACCUUCCAGGAGUGAGGCACCACCAGAUUGCCUAAGAAGGGGUAAACCAGCUCAGAAACAGCAGAUCAAAAUUCCAGUGCUGAUCAAUGCUGGGAAUGCGCCUGUGAAUACUCACUGCACUCCAGCUUGGACAACAUAGAAGACCCUGUCUCU